rnacentral:rRNA from 1 species
UACGUAGGGGGCAAGCGUUGUCCGGAAUCAUUGGGCGUAAAGAGCGCGUAGGCGGCUGGAAUAGUCCGGUGUGAAAUCCACAGGCUUAACCUGUGAAUGCCGCUGGAAACUGUCUGGCUAGAGUCCGGAAGGGGCGAGUGGAAUUCCUGGUGUAGCGGUGAAAUGCGCAGAUAUCAGGAGGAACACCAAUGGCGAAGGCAGCUCGCUGGGACGGUACUGACGCUGAGACGCGAAAGCGUGGGGAGCAAACAGG